GAAAAUGAGAGUUUGAUCCUGGCUCAGGACGAACGCUGGCGGCGUGCCUAAUACAUGCAAGUCGAGCGAGCUUGCCUAGAUGAAUUUGGUGCUUGCACCAGAUGAAACUUGAUACAAGCGAGCGGCGGACGGGUGAGUAACACGUGGGUAACCUGCCCAAGAGACUGGGAUAACACCUGGAAACAGAUGCUAAUACCGGAUAACAACACUAGACGCAUGUCUAGAG
rnacentral:rRNA from 1 species